UUUAAAUUUAGAAUCUAGCGUAAAAAGAAAAUCCGAAUCAGGAACUCUAAUGUGAUGAUGAACUGACCUUAGA